rnacentral:rRNA from 1 species
AGUAGGGAAUCUUGCGCAAUGGGCGAAAGCCUGACGCAGCCAUGCCGCGUGAAUGAUGAAGGUCUUAGGAUUGUAAAAUUCUUUCACCGGGGACGAUAAUGACGGUACCCGGAGAAGAAGCCCCGGCUAACUUCGUGCCAGCAGCCGCGGUAAUACGAAGGGGGCUAGCGUUGCUCGGAAUUACUGGGCGUAAAGGGAGCGUAGGCGGAUAGUUUAGUCAGAGGUGAAAGCCCAGGGCCCAACCUUGGAAUUGCCUUUGAUACUGGCUAUCUUGAGUAUGGAAGAGGUAUGUGGAACUCCGAGUGUAGAGGUGAAAUUCGUAGAUAUUCGGAAGAACACCAGUGGCGAAGGCGACAUACUGGUCCAUUACUGACGCUGAGGCUCGAAAGCGUGGGGAGCAAACAGGAUUAGAUACCCUGGUAGUCCACGCCGUAAACGAUGAGUGCUAGUUGUCGGCAUGCAUGCAUGUCGGUGACGCAGCUAACGCAUUAAGCACUCCGCCUGGGGAGUACGGUCGCAAGAUUAAAACUCAAAGGAAUUGACGGGGGCCC